GGAAGAGUGGGGAGCAGGCGGGGAAAGGCUCUGGGAUCCCAUAUGUUGUGUUUGAGUUGAUGACAAAUCACCAAGGUGCAAAUAUUCAGCAGUCAGCUUUGCAAGAGCUAAGCUAAAUACCCAAGUAAGGGUCUCAGUAAACAGAAAGGAUUUAUAAAGCUUUGGCCUCCACCACGGCAGUGCACCCAGCAGGGAGGAGCUGAUAUUGAGAAGUGGGCGGCUGAAGACAGAACACCGAGUGGAGACCCCUCAGCAUGGAGUUGAGUUUAAAGCCCCGCCAUGCGCCCUGUGAAGACUUCGGUUUCCUGGUCUAUAAAAUGAGGAAGUGGGGGUGAGGGAGGGGGAAAAGAUAACUGAGAUACAUUAUGUGCAUGUACCAAUCCCUUACAGUGAG